rnacentral:misc_RNA from 1 species
GGGGGAAAAAAAAACUCAACAGGAGGGGGAAAAGGAAUACAUCACGUAUAGAGGAAAAGUAAAUUACAUGAUGAUAACCAAAAUAACCUCAACAUAUGUCCGGAUUAAAGAACCCGGGAAUAGAGCUACUUUGUUGUGCCCUUUGAAGAUGGAGUUUCAAUGCAUAGUUGUUUAGCUCUAAACUUCGGAUUUGCUCUUGGUACUGAUUUAACAAAAGCUUUAAGUUUUGCACUUCCCUUGUCUUCUCCUCNNNNNNNNNNCGUUCGUACUGGAUGGCAACAGCUCUCUUCAAGAUUUGGUUAUCAUUUAGUAAACUUUGAAGAUGCUCCUUCAUUGAAGCAUCCUCUUCUGUUGCCCGGGACUGAGCAGUUAUACUUCUUUCAAAAGCUUCUAAAACUUGAGCAGCACGUCUCCUAGCAUCAUCCAGAUCUGCUGCUUUCAUCAUCUCCUGCACAAAUAAAUCCACCCACUUCGGGCCAUCUACAACAUUUUCAUAAUCACUGCUCGUUUUCAAAUUUUCAACCUCUUCUUCUGACAUUUGAUGACAAGUAGCAGUGCUUAAAGCAGGAACAGCAUCACACUUUCCAAUCGUAGCUGACUCAAAGCUCUGUGAUUUAUUUCUAUCCACAUCAUCACCAAAUGAAAAUUUCAUUAAAGUCUGAAUUGCAUCAUCAAUCUUAUUGUUGUGGUUCC